AUUGAACGCUGGCGGCAGGCCUAACACAUGCAAGUCGCGCGAGCGGCGGACGGGUGAGUAAUGUAUGGGGACUGCCCGAUAGCGGGGGAUAACUACUGGAAACGGUAGCUAAUACCGCAUCCUAUCGGAUAACCCAUAUGGGAUUAGCUAGUAGGUGAGGUAAUGGCUCACCUAGGCGACGAUCCCUAGCUGGUCUGAGAGGAUGCUCAGCCACACGAGUACUGAGACACGGCCCAAACUCCUACGGAGGCUGCGGUGGAGAAUAUUGCACAAUGAGCGCAAGCCUGGUGCAGCCAUGCCGCGUGUAUGAAGGAGGCCAUAAGGUUGUAAAGUACUUUCAGUCGGGAGGCGUUACCGACAGAAGAAGCACCGGCUAACUCCGUACCAGCAGCCGCAGUAAUUC
rnacentral:rRNA from 1 species